rnacentral:sRNA from 1 species
AGAAUCUGUAUGCUUUAAUAGUUCUAAGUCCCCCAGGCCUUCCUACAGCAACUUCCCACUCCAGGUGGCCAGACGGGAGUUCCAGACCAGUGUUGUCUCCCGGGACAUUGACACAGCAGCCAAGUUUAUUGGUGCUGGGGCAGCCACAGUUGGUGUGGCUGGUUCAGGGGCUGGCAUUGGAACCGUGUUUGGCAGCUUGAUCAUUGGCUAUGCCAGGAACCCAUCUCUCAAGCAGCAGCUCUUCUCCUAUGCCAUUCUCGGCUUUGCCCUGUCUGAGGCCAUGGGGCUCUUCUGUUUGAUGGUUGCCUUCCUCAUCCUCUUCGCCAUGUGAGGCUCCAUGGGGGGUCACCUGCCUGUUGCUGCUGCAACUCCAUACCAUUCUUGGUGCUGGGGUGUGCUAAGCUUUACCAUUAAACACAACGUUUCUCUAAA